rnacentral:rRNA from 1 species
UCGGGAAUUUUGGGCAAUGGGCGAAAGCCUGACCCAGCAACGCCGCGUGAGGGAUGAAGUAUUUCGGUAUGUAAACCUCGAAAGAAUGGGAAGAAUAAAUGACGGUACCAUUUAUAAGCUCCGGCUAACUACGUGCCAGCAGCCGCGGUAAUACGUAGGGAGCAAGCGUUGUUCGGAUUUACUGGGCGUAAAGGGCGCGUAGGCGGCGCGGUAAGUCACUUGUGAAAUCUCUGAGCUUAACUCAGAACGGCCAAGUGAUACUGCUGUGCUAGAGUGCGGAAGAGGCAACCGGAAUUCUUGGUGUAGCGGUGAAAUGCGUAGAUAUCAAGAGGAACACCUGAGGCGAAGGCGGGUUGCUGGGCCGACAAUGACGCUGAUGCGCGAAAGCCAG